CACAUCAUAUUGAAAUACCGGUUCCUGUAUGAUCACCAAAGUUAAGCAAUGUUGAACUUGGUCAAUACCUAGAUGUGUGACUCCUUGGAAAUACCAGGUGCUGUAAG